rnacentral:rRNA from 1 species
UGCCUAACAGCUAGCCCGCUCAAACAACUUCAACAAAACAAUAUUUAUACCCCCAAAAGACACUAAUUUUAAGUUAAACAAACCAUUUUUCCCCUUUAGUAUAGGCGAUAGAAAAGGAUACAGGCGCAAUAGAGAAAGUACCGCAAGGGAACGCUGAAAGAGAAGUGAAAUAACCCAGAGAAGCUAAGAAAAGCAGAGAUUAAACCUCGUACCUUUUGCAUCAUGAUUUAGCAAGUGUAACUUAAGCAAAGAGAACUAUAGUUUAAUGUCCCGAAACUACGUGAGCUACUCCAAGACAGCCUAUUAAUAGGGCACACCCGUCUCUGUUGCAAAAGAGUGGGAAGAGCUUCGAGUAGAGGUGAUAAACCUACCGAACCUAGUUAUAGCUGGUUGUCCAAGAAAUGAAUAGAAGUUCAGCUUCCAGGCUUCUCUUUUCGCAUUAGAUUAACACCUAUUGAUAAACCUAAGAAACCAGGAAAGUUAGUCAAAGGGGGUACAGCCCCUUUGAGCAAAGAUACAACUUUAACAGGAGGGUAAAGAUCAUAAUAAGACAAAGGACAGUACUUCGGUGGGCUUGAAAGCAGCCACCCCCAAAGAAAGCGUCAAAGCUCAAGUACCCUAAUUAACCCCUUAUCCGGAUCAACCAAUCUUAUCCCCCUAACCAUAAUGGACCAUCCCAUGCCCCCAUGGGAGUGAUUAUGCUAAUAUGAGUAAUAAGGGAGGCCAACGCCUCCCUCCUCGCACACGUGUACGUCGGAACGGACAACCCGCCGACCUUUAACGACCCCAAUCAAAGAGGGACCUGGAUAAUAAACUAAAUAACAAGAAAAACAUCCAAUUUUAAACCGUUAACCCCACACAGGUGUGCCACCGGGAAAGACUAAAAGAAAAAGAAGGAACUCGGCAAACACAUAAAGCCUCGCCUGUUUACCAAAAACAUCGCCUCUUGUAAUAAAAAAAUAAGAGGUCCCGCCUGCCCUGUGACUAUAAGUUUAACGGCCGCGGUAUUUUGACCGUGCGAAGGUAGCGCAAUCACUUGUCUUUUAAAUGAAGACCUGUAUGAAUGGCAUAACGAGGGCUUAGCUGUCUCCUUUUUCCAGUCAAUGAAAUUGAUCUCCCCGUGCAGAAGCGGGGAUAAAUACAUAAGACGAGAAGACCCUAUGGAGCUUUAGACACUAAAGUGGAUCAUGUCAAUAACCCCUAAACAAAGGGCUGAACCAAAUGGAACCCACCCUGAUGUCUUUGGUUGGGGCGACCGCGGGGAACUAAACAACCCCCAUGUGGAAUGGGAGCACCCCUCCUACAGCUGAGAGUUACAACUCUAAUAAACAGAAUUUCUGACCAAAAAGAUCCGGCAAAGCCGAUCAACGGACCUAGUUACCCUAGGGAUAACAGCGCAAUCCUCUUUUAGAGCCCAUAUCGACAAGGGGGUUUACGACCUCGAUGUUGGAUCAGGACAUCCUAAUGGUGCAGCCGCUAUUAAGGGUUCGUUUGUUCAACGAUUAAAGUCCUACGUGAUCUGAGUUCAGACCGGAGUAAUCCAGGUCAGUUUCUAUCUAUGCAGUGCUCUUCUCUAGUACGAAAGGACCGAGAAGAGGGGGCCAAUACCUCUAGUACGCCCCACCCUUACCUAAUGAAUUUAACUAAAAUAGGCAAUAGGGCAUAUCCCUGUGCCGAAGAUUACGGCAU